CGAGUGGCGAACGGGUGAGUAACACGUGGGUGAUCUGCCCUGCACUUCGGGAUAAGCCUGGGAAACUGGGUCUAAUACCGGAUAGGACGAUGGUUUGGAUGCCAUUGUGGAAAGUUUUUCGGUGUGGGAUGAGCUCGCGGCCUAUCAGCUUGUUGGUGGGGUAAUGGCCUACCAAGGCGUCGACGGGUAGCUGGCCUGAGAGGGUGUACGGCCACAUUGGGACUGAGAUACGGCCCAG
rnacentral:rRNA from 1 species